AUCGAGAGAGAGGGAUGUGUGCAGUGUGUAGUGUGAGUGUUGGUUUUAGCUUUUAAUUUAUUGGUGAGAAAAGAAACUGCGUGGAAUGUGUUCGAUAAAAGUUGUUCGAGACAGAAAGCGUGCUAACAGCAGGCAUGGCCGUGACAAGGUGUGGUCUCUCCUAAUCUCCUGUCCUUUCAUUUUCUUCUUCUUCCAUCUUUUCUUUCUUUCCUUUUUUCCCUUUCAAUUUCUUAAAUUAAAUCACGUCAUAGGGCUAUGCUCAUUUUCUUUUCUUAUCACCAAAUAUUGAUUGAUGGGUAGAAAAUGUUUUCUUAUAUAAUCAAACUCUUUAUUACAUACUCACAACUGUCCGAAAACUUCUCUUAAAUUUUGUAUUUGUAUUCGUUGACACGGAUAGUUGCAUUGUGUUUUGUGUUAUCGUGUUUUACAUUGAAAGAUAGUAUGUGAUUUUAUACUAAUAUUCGUUUCGUGUCGUAUCAGUGUUCAGAUUGUAUGUGAUUUUAUACUAAUAUUCGUUUCGUGUCAUAUCAGUAUUCAUAUUUAUUGUUCGUGUUGGUAUCUUGUAUUUAGUGUUCGUGUCGGUAUCUCUUCUACAUAGGACAUGAGUUUUUUCAUUUUCCUUUUUCUUUUCCAAAGUUUUAUGUCACACCAAAUUGUGAAAUGUUAAUGCUCAUUACCUAUCUGUUGUCAUCCUUAUCUUCUAGUAAAGAAUCAUUAUUGUGUCUAUGAACAUUUUUCAGUGGGGUUGCUAAUACGAAUAAUCAAUGGGGAUUGGUUACUUCUUCCAAUUGCUUGACAAAACCAUUGCUUUAAAGGUAUGUAAUAUAUAUUUCAUUUUAUUUUAAUUUUGUAAAGUAUAUGAUGAUAAAUUUGACUGAUUAAAUAUUUAAAGAUAAUAUUUUGUACUUUUAUUGAAUAUGGAAGUUAUUAAUUGAUUUUUUAUGUUGCUAUAUCGAAGAGGUGACAACCUGUCCUAGUUCUUAUUUAACAGCAUUAUUUAUGUGAUUUGUGAUUGUGUGUGUAUUAUUUUGAUUUUCUGUCCCAUUCUCAUUGACCAUAAUUGGUAUCCAGGCGUCAUUUUCUAUUCCCAACAAAACAAACUGCUUUGACUUUUAUUACUAUGUCAACAAAUAGAAAUAUGCAUUUAUAAGUUGUCUAGUGGGACCAUUUUCAAAUGUUCCUUUCAUAUGCUGUGGUUAUAUUCCUUCAGACUUUUGAGGACUUACCCUUGUAUUACCUUAUUCAAAUGUCACUUUUCAGGACUUACCCCUCUAUUAACCUAAUUCAACAUUUGACGUUGGUCAGGGUGGUCCACUGUAUCAAAUGCUUUAUGCUGGAUAUAUUUUAAUAAUAACCACAUGAUUUUUUACUAUAAUAAUAAACUGUUGAAAUGAGCCUCAAACAACCUUCUUUGCAGUUAUUAUUUGUUAUUUUUCUACUGCAACAUAAAUAUUGUAUACAUUCAAUCCUUUUUUUUUUCAAGAAACCUCAUAAAGGACUUAUCAUAAUCACCUUUAAACCGUUGAUGCAAAUAACACAGCACAUCUUUUUAAAAGAAUGGCUCCUUGUGUGAUUAGCAAUUGCUUGAUAAAAAUAUAAUGCUAUAUUUUAUAAAAUUCCUUUAUACAAAUAAAUAAGUAAGUGCAUAUUUAUUCUUUGGUAAAAUAUUGAGAAUAUGAUACCUACUUAAGGUAAUUGGACCAAGUCACCUUUGUAAUGGAAAAACUCAAAUAUAUUCGAAAAUUUAUUUAUGUAAAAAAACAGUCAAAUAUUUGAUAACUAUUUUAUUGGAUAUUUCACCAAACCUAAAUAUUUUCUUGGAAGUAUUCAUUAAAUUUUAUCCACUAACUUAAAUACUAUCAAUUAUAAAAGUUAUUGGAAGUAUUCAUUAAAUCUUAUCAACUUUAUAUUAAUAUUGUGAAAAAAAGUGUUGAAUGAAUCAAUUGAUUGAUAAGUAACCAGUAAUACCUUCAUUCUUUUUUUGAAGAGGUGACAGUGUUUUAAAUGAUAUUUGUAGAUCGCAUACUCAUGAUCUUAGGAUGUUUGCGUUUGACCCACAUAUUGAACCAAGUCGAGUAUUUUUGUUGGUCCUCAAGAUUAGCAUAGUUCAUAAUUUGUUGCACAUCCAUAACCACUUUUUCUUGAAUGUUUUGUGUUGUUAGACCUAUAUUCUCAACUGGUUUAAGAGGAAGGAAUCACAGGAUGUGAUUUGACUUCUUGCUCUAUAUGUUAUUGUAGACGUUGUUUGAAUUGGUGGGUGGUCCAAUCUUGGUAUAGUGUGUGAUUUGCUAAUGAAGAACGUGCAUCUCAUCAUGAUGUUGAUUUCGCAAAAGCUCCAUAUCCUUGUCAAACUUGUGUUGCAUGCGAGUAAUGACAUUUUGGACACUCAUUUCAUUCUUUUAGAUAAUGGUUUCCAUAUGAGUUUUAAGCGCUUCAAGCGAAGAUGAUUUGAUCUUGCAAUAUGAUGUCAUUAAUGGGGUCGAAAAUGAAAGGUGGUUGUGAAGGCUCCACUAGCGACGAUGGUUAAUCAUCACUUCAUCGCAACUCAAGCUUAAUGAAGACGAAAAUGAAAGGUGGUUGUGAAGACUCCAUUAGCGACAAUGGUUAAUCAUCAUUUCAUUGCAACUCAAGCUUAAUGUGAACGAAAAUGAAAGGUGGUUGUGAAGGCUCCACUAGCGACGAUCGUUAAUCAUCACUUUAUCGCAACUCAAGCUUAAUGGGGACGAAAAUGAAAUGUUUAUGACUAAGAAGGUACAUGUCAAGUAAGACCAAGUACCUUAAUAGGAAACAUAAGGAUAAGUUAUCUUCCAUCUUGAGUUUUGAGUACCAUUAGGUGCUCAACAAAGUGAAUUCAUAUGCCUUCGAGUAUGUCUUGAAGGGAUGAGUUGAAGAGUUUCCAAAAUUCUUCUACUUGUAUAAUAACCAAAAUGAUAUUGAGCUUCUUUUUAUUAAGGAAUACUUAUCUUGCUUUCGUGUAUGAAUGUUUAUUUAAGGACUUAUAUGUUUUGUUUUUCCUAUCCAUUGUUG
rnacentral:lncRNA from 1 species